rnacentral:rRNA from 1 species
CCUACGGGUGGCAGCAGGGAGGAAUAUUGGUCAAUGGACGCAAGUCUGAACCAGCCAUGCCGCGUGCAGGAAGACGGCUCUAUGAGUUGUAAACUGCUUUUGUACGAGGGUAAACGCAGAUACGCGUAUCUGUCUGAAAGUAUCGUACGAAUAAGGAUCGGCUAACUCCGUGCCAGCAGCCGCGGUAAUACGGAGGAUUCAAGCGUUAUCCGGAUUUAUUGGGUUUAAAGGGUGCGUAGGCGGUCGGAUAAGUUAGAGGUGAAAUCCCGAGGCUCAACUUCGGAAUUGCCUCUGAUACGGUUCGGCUAGAUCGUAGUUUCGGUCGGCGGAAUGUUUGUUGUAGCGGUGACAUGCU